GAGAAGUGGAACAUGCACACUUAACCACUGCACCACCAGGCCAGUCCCGUGAACAUCCUUUCAUAUUGGGUGAGUAUUCCCAAUUGCCUGAAAAACUGGACCUCAUCUGUCCCAGCGUUCUGUGCCACUCUACACGCCUGCAGGAGCCCAGCUCUGUGAUAGACUCGGUGGGGAAUCCAGAACAGACAGAAGAAACUGUUCUCCCUGCUGGAGCCUGUGAUCUUGUGAAGAAAGUAAGACCUGAAGAGCAGGAGACUUCUCUCUGUAGCCACAGGACGUGAUGGGGCGAGAAACUAGGACUGAUGACAUAAUUUGGGGAGUCAUAAGAGAUUGAGGCUUUUUGUGGACCGGCACAGAACUUGCCCUGAUUAACCCCACACCUUCUUUGCUGCUUUCUUGGAACACAUGAAUGUGUGGCAUAGCAAACUUCCCUCCGUGGUUAUUCUCAAACUGUUUACUUUUCUUUAUUUGCCUUCAGAGUGACUACCUUUUUUAAAGUAUAAAGACUUGACAGAGCUCAAGUGCCAGGCCCCAGCCCUCCGACAAAUCUUUUCAGCAAGAUGUAAACACGCAUGGAUGGAAACUUGGUCUUCGUAAACCUGCCAGCCUCACUGAGUAGUUAGUGUGGUAUUUGCACUUGACCAGAUUCGAGAAGGUGGAACCUGCGAGGCCACCUCACCUUCCAGCCUCAUGCUCACCCCAACCCUCUCUUCUGGCGCCUCUCUCCUCGGAUGUCUGCCAGGGCCUGACAUUUAUUUCUGAAGGCUUUUGAAAGACUCUGGGCCAAGACCUUAGCUCAUAAAAACUUAAAGGUCCGUUCUCCAAGGAGCCUUUUUAUGGGGAAACACCUACGAGUGAACAUUGAAAAACUGAGGAAUGAGCGCGUUUCUAGUGAGUGAGUUCCGAGAGUGGACAGGAGGCCUUGCGGCCUCUCUUUGGAGUGUCCCAGAAGUGAAACCCGGGAAGGGAAACCUCGUGAAGGGGUGCGGCUCUGUUUCGCUCUUUGGCUAACAUUGAUAACUGGAUGUGGAGAGGAAGAUGCCACUCAUUUUGGCUGUCCCAAGUCAUGAACAAGGCUCUUUAGAAAAAUCCCAUACUUGGUCCCCUCAUGAUAAAAGGUUUGUAAAAAAAACCACUAUCAUCCAUUUUGGACAACCUUGUCUCCAGCCAGGGUGGAAAAGUGGAAAAGGGGAGGAUGAAAUCCCGCAGCCCUCUGAUUCUAAAAUGUGCUGGGCUGUCAGCUCCUCUGGCCCCAGAUGAAGGUGUCAGUUCUUCUCGGGCACAAAAGCUGAAGUCGCAAGGCCUCCUUUUUCCUCCCCUACUUUCCUCCCUUCCUUCCUCUUUCUUUCAUUGCUUCUUUCCAAGUAUCUGGGAAAUGUGAAACUUCUUGUUUCAGAUACUUGCACUGCCGUAUGAUUUGAUUUGAUCUGCUUAUUUUUUUUAAGCAGAAGGAAUGCUUGUCUUGGCACAGGUCUUUUUGUGUGGGUAAAAGGAAGCAACACAGAAAAGAGGUACGAAAAUUUCCCUUUUGAUAUAAGAAUAGUUUGUCAUAAGAUUCUGCACACCAAAUACCCAGCCUUGGAGAGAGUAUUUUUGCCGUCAGCCUUGUCACCCAAGACUCCAUUUUUCCCUUCUUCUCUUCCCUUCCCUCCUCUGGCGUCACUUUUGCAUGUGUCUCUGAAUAUAAUAAAGUUGCUUUGAGGUUUUU